UGAUAAUUCACUGAGAUCAUAGACGGUGU
rnacentral:piRNA from 1 species